GGGUUCCUGAGCAGGCUUCAGGGUUCCUGAGCAGGCCUCAUGGUUCCUGAGCAGGCCUCAGGGUUCCUGAGCAGGCUUCAGGGUUCCUGAGUAGGCUUAAGGGUUCCUGAGCAGGCUUCAGGGUUUCUGAGCAGGCUUCAGGGUUUCUGAGCAGGCUUCAGGGUUCCUGAGCAGGUUUCAGGGUUUCUGAGCAGGCUUCAGGGUUUCUGAGCAGCCAUCAGGGUUUCUGAGCAGGCUUCAGGGUUUCUGAGCAGGCUUCAGACACCUCUGAGUUUCCUAAAGUUUAUUUUAAUUCUCAAAAAAAAAAAGCUUUCCAGAAGACUCCUGAAAUGUUCUUGAAUGAUUUCCUGAGUUCAUUAAGGACUUUCUGGGGUGAAGAAGUAGAAAGUUCCUGAAAGGAUUAAACACCCACACACAGGUCAGCCGUGUGUGUGUGUGUGUGUUUACAGUAAGUGUGUGAGAGAGAGAGACCGGGUGAACAGAGGCGUCUUUUAUUUAUUUAAUUUUGUUCAUAUUAGUGGUGGAGGUUAUGUCAGGGUAAAGCAGCAUUGUUUCACCUCCUGCUCCCUGAGGGAUUAUUCCACAACUCCACAAGCAUCCACUCACUGAUCCAUUCUGUCGAGGUCUAUUGUUCCCUGAGGUGGGAACCUUCACCGUGUUUGUGGUCGUUCAGGGUCAGAUCUGAUCACCUGAGACCAGCAAGGUGGAUGUUUGCUGACAUUUUGACCUUCUUGUUUAUCCUCCCUCUCUCUCUCUCUCUCUCUCUCUCUCUCUCUCUCACCAACGUUGGGAAAGCAGGCAAUCUGUCCGGUGUCUGUGCUGGAGGAGAAACCUUGCAAUUCAUGACCUCAUUUCUUUUAGAGGGACUGAUGGUCAUCUGGGGCUCAUUACUGCAUUACUGAGUGUUUUUGUUGUGGAGGAGGGGCGGAGAGUCACCGUAGCUGUGGGAAGGACCUGACGAGGCACCGGAUUAAUGCCAUGACCCAGCGUCUGGUCACUCUGCCGUCCUGGAAGCAGACUCACCAUGUCAUGCUCUUUAUCUCCACCAGACAUUCUGUUCUAACCCUGAAUCCGAUCCCGACAUGAUGAAGCGCAGGGUUCCAGAAAAGGUUCCUGAUGGAGCUCCUGCUUUUCUAAAUUUUGGAUUGCCAAAAGGUUCCUGUGCUGAUUCUUUUAAUUAACUCCCGAGAUCCUGUAAAGCUUCCUAGAAAUAUUCCUCAUCGGGUUCCUGGGUUCAAAGCUUUAUGGGCUUCUAAAGUUUUCAAAAAAGAGCUCCUGGACUGCUCGUUUCUUCUUGGUACCUGAAAAGGUUCCUGCAAUGAAUAAGCACUGAUACAAAGGUCAGCCGUGUGUGUGUGUGUGUGUGUGUGAGAUAAAACAGAAAGUCUGCUUUAGGAAGUUCUCAGAUUUGUCGCAUUAGCUAACCAUCACAUCUCAGUUUCUCCAUAUCAGCGAUCACACACUCAUUCGAAUGAGCUGAUGCUACAGAAAUAACGACUUACAGAACUGACCAAUCAGAAUCGAGAUCUCUCGGCACAGCGCCGUGUGUGUGUACGUGUACGAUUAGUGAAACGUGGUGAGCGGAGAUGGUACGAAGAGCCUUCAUUAGUGAAUAUGUUCUUUAUCUGAGUGCUGCAUGACCUUUGGGCGUUUCCUCUGGAGAGGGCACGAGGUGGUGGCACGACCAGGAAGAGCUCAAUUGGUUAAUAGCCUCACCGCUGAUCCUCAUCGCUGUGUAAUGGAGGAAAAGGCGGUCUGAGUGGAGGGAAACGUUAGCAGAUGUGAGACGAGCCAGGUACCGCCUGGAAGAUUCGAGACACGGGGUUAUGCAAGAAAAUGGCAUAAAUAUGGAGCUUUUGGCACACGGUCAGGCCGAGCGAGGAGGAAAGAAAAAAAACCCCAGAAGGAAUCGUGGUAGAUUGCGGCGCGUCCGGCGUAAGACGGUUAGUGAGGUAAGACAGGAGAGACAGCGAGACGAGGAGCAGCGGCGCGUGAGGAAGCGCAGAUGAGUGGAGGAGACGUGCUGGCGUGAAGCUCUCAGUUCUCCGGGGCUUGAGAAGGAGCAGAGCGAGGUGG